UCUACCACCAUGCCACCCUGAACAAGCCAAUGUCAGAAGCUAAGCAGGGUCAGGCCUGGUUAGUACUUGGAUAGGAGACCACCUAGGAAAACCAGGUGCUGCUUGUA
rnacentral:rRNA from 1 species